AGGAAGUCUUUUCCUUACUUCUCAUUAUGAUGAUCAUGAGUGCAUUUGGCUCGAGACCUCGUCCUUGGCGGGACGUUGUCGGUGUGGAAAAACACAAGCUACCUAAAUUUUAUCUGUCUGAUC
rfam:Ashbya gossypii ATCC 10895 chromosome VI, complete sequence.